UCCACCCUUUCGCAAUCCGUUCGCCGCCGAUACGCUGCGCCACACACAUCUUGGCACGCUCACCCCCGCAUCUAAGCGCAGAGAGACACCGUUUACCACAAGGUUACAGGACAGGUCUUUGGGAGCGCGGCGGUUCUGGCGGCAAACAGCCAUCUCUGUGUGCGCUCGUGUCUUCAUCUGAUAGCGCUCCCUCCCUAACGGACAGCUUCGCGCCCCUCUCUGCUGUGUGCCGGCUAUUCGUUCCUCUUUCUCUCUACUCACUUCUUUGUGUUCUCCUCUUGCCCACAUUGCGCUACCCUCUCCACGUAAUCACUACGCAGACCCUCCCCCUCCCCUCUUCCCCCGCUUCGGAUCACACACGCUGGCACCCUGCGAACCCUUCUCUCCUCCACCCCGUCGUCUUCGUCUUCUUCGGGGUGAGAGGCGCGCCUUCGUGUCCCCCUCUCUCUCCCGUGUGUUUUUCCAGUGAUUCCGCUGGCCGUGGAUGCGCGCGCAUCCCUCUCGCUCGCUUCCCUUGUCCCUCCCACCCUGCUCCUUAACGUCUUACGAUUGAUCGCCUCGUCGUCGUCGUCGUCGUCCUUGCGUGUGCGUUGCUCAAGGUCCGCAGGUCAUCGCUUCGGCCAGCGUCAUGCGUGCUGCGAGUUGCAUGGCGCACCGCUGCAUCGGCGCGGCUGCCGGUGCCGUCACUGUCGCCCGCGCGCCUGGCUGGCCCUACACGGCGUCGCAGCGGCACUUCUUUGCGACGGCGUGCGCACUGCUCGGCCGCAGCAUCCCGUACAAGCUGGCCGACAUCGGCGAAGGGAUAACAGAGGUGCAGGUGCUGGGCGUCCGCGUGAAGGCCGGCGACACCAUCAACGAGUUCGACCCCAUCUGCGAGGUGCAAAGCGACAAGGCCACCGUCGACAUCACGUCCCGCUACACGGGCGUUGUGAAGGCGGUGUACCUGCAGCCUGGCGCGACCGCCAAGGUGGGCUCGGUCAUGCUCGACAUCGUGCCAGAGGGCGCCGACGACGCGCCAGAGGCCGCCUCGCCGUCCCGCGGCGCGCCAUCGCCUUCGUCGGCGUCGCAUUCUGCUUUGCAGGCAGCCUACUCCGCGCCACAGCCAUCAUCGGUCCCCUCGGCGGGUAAGGUGCUUGCGACACCGGCAACGCGGUACCUGGCGCGGGAACACAAGCUGGACCUCGCACAUGUGCCGGCCACCGGCAAGGGCGGACGAGUAACAAAGGAGGACGUGCUUCAAUUCAUGGAUGCGAGCAUGUCUGCAGCAGCGGCGCCAUCGACCCCAUCUACGGCGUCGGUUGCCGCAACUGCGCCACCUGGCACCGUCGUGUCUGGACUUCAGACGGAGGCGGGUGACACCGUCAUGCCCAUCACCGGCGUGCGCCGCGGCAUGGUCAAGACGAUGAGCCAGGCUGCGUCGAUCCCCACCUUCACCUUCAGCGAGGAGUGCGAGCUCACCCGGCUCAUGGCGGUGCGCGGGUCGCUGAAGGAUAUGGUGAAGGACCGCAGCAAAGGCAAGGCAAAGCUGUCCUUCAUGCCUUUCUUUCUCAAGGCGGCGUCUAUCGCGCUGCAGCAUCACCCGGACAUCAACGCUCACUGCCCGGCGGACUGCUCGGCGUUGGUGCGCAAGGCGGCACACAACAUCGGCUUCGCUAUGGACACGCCGAACGGGCUCAUCGUGCCGGUUGUUAAACAUGUGGAGCGCAAGUCAAUCCUCGACAUCGCCAACGACAUGCAGGUUCUCAUUGAGCGCGGCAAGAGCAACAAGCUGACGACACAGGACAUGACAGGUGGUACCUUCACGCUGAGCAACAUUGGCGUGAUUGGGGCAACGGUGACAGCGCCCGUGCUGCUCCCGCCUCAGGUCGCCAUCGGGGCCAUUGGCCGCUUACAAAAGCUGCCGCGCUUCGACGCGAACGGUAGCUUGUACGCUGCGAAUCUCAUCUGCGUUUCCUUCACAGCCGACCAUCGCGUGAUCGACGGCGCGAGCAUGGUUCGAUUCGCGAACACCUACAAGCGGCUGCUGGAGCAUCCCGAGAACAUGCUGGUGGAUCUGCGGUAAUCUGGUCAACGGAGAGGGAUAGAGGGAGGGUGGAGUACAGACGGAGGGAGGGAGUGUGUGUGCGGAAGGGGGGGGCAGUCGAUACGGAUUCACUGAUGGGCCUCCCGCUUCUUUCCCACAUCUUCUGUUCCUUCUGGGGCAGGGAUUCACUCACGGCCGCUCGCUGAUGCACGCGCGCCUCUCUUUCUCGGGACGUGUGCGUGUGCCGUCGAUGUACGCAUCUGCGUUGUGUCUGUUUUGCCUGUUUGUUUGUUUUUUCCUUGGGAUGGCGCCGGCGUCCCUCCACGUCUCCCCCCUCCUCCUUCCCUCCCUUUCCCCUCCCCCUUACGUACGGGCUGCGGACGCGUCGGUGCACGGGUGCGUGCGUGCGCCCACUCGGAUAGCGUGCACGCACAUGCCAGCGUUUUCUUUUUCCCUUUUCUUAUGCGCGCGUGUGCGUGCGUGUGUGUGUCUGUGUGCUUGGGUGCUGCCUCUAUGCAUAUCCAAUGCGCGGCGCAGACACCGCCGAGGUUGCCCCUCCUCCGGCCUCGCUCUCUUGACGCCUCCCUCCCCUCUCUUCGCACCCGAUCCUCUGUAUGAGCGUGUCGCCACGGCGUGUCUCUCAGUGCAUGCGUCGGUCCGCGUAGAAGCUCGCUGCUAGGCACGGAUGUGACGCUCCCUAGCUCUCCUUCACGUCUUCCGCCGCCCACCCUCCUCUCGUGUUCGUGCUUCCUUCUUCGCAAUGGACGUCUGUGCCUUUGUCUCUCUCGAGCACGCGCUUGUUCUGUGAGCGGUGAGGGGAGAGAGACGCCGACGUGGAGGUGGCGGAUGGUCGGGGGAGGUUGUAGGAAGACGAGAGAAUGGGGUGCUGCUGUCGUUGAUGUACGUGUGAGUGCACCACCGAUGCAACACAGCUGCGAUGUGAGCAGAACAAGUG
rnacentral:misc_RNA from 1 species